rnacentral:rRNA from 1 species
GCACGGAGUUAGCCGAUCCUUAUCUUACAGUACCGUCAAGACUGGUUCACGAACCAGUGUUUCUUCCUGUACAAAAGCAGUUUACAAUCCAUAGGACCGUCAUCCUGCACGCGGCAUGGCUGGAUCAGGCUUGCGCCCAUUGUCCAAUAUUCCUCA